UCAAUCACUUAAAAAAAAUCAAAACAAAACAAAACUUCCUUCCCUUCUCAUUCGGCUGAACCAAAAAAAAGGGCUCCUCAUUCAAUCGUCCCUUUUGCUUCUCUCCUUGGCCGAUCAUGGGUUUCAUCGGCGUCCCAUGCGCCUCCACCUAUCGUGGCUCAUGGCUCGGGAACAAAGGAGACGAGAGGCGUCCAUUGGUCCAAAUCCAUGCCGUUGAACGGGUCUCCGAUGGCUGAAACCGCGGGCAAGUGGGGCAAGUGGAGGUGCUGCCAUGGCAGCUAAUGGCAGAGGUUAGGGGUGGCACUAGGGUCAUGGGGCUAGGAUUUUUUUUGUUUAGAUUUGUUUGGGCUUGAUUUUUGGUUGUUGGGCCUGGAGGGGUUUGGCCCAUUACAGUUAUCAUCUAAAACAUCAUUUAAAAUUUAAUUAUUAAAGUAAUAGACAUUUUCUUUUCUCA